rnacentral:rRNA from 1 species
UACGGAGGGUGCAAGCGUUAAUCGGAAUUACUGGGCGUAAAGCGUGCGCAGGCGGUUUGUUAAGUCUGUUGUGAAAUCCCCGAGCUCAACUUGGGAAUUGCAAUGGAUACUGGCAGGCUGGAGUAUGGUAGGGGUAGAGGGAAUUUCCAGUGGAGCGGUGAAAUGCGUAGAUAUUGGAAAGACCACCGAUGGCGAAGGCACUCUACUGGGCCAUUACUGACACUGAGAGACGAAAGCUAGGGGAGCAAACGGG